CGGCGGCGCGUGGGGUUCUCCUUCCCCGCUCCGGCCUCGUCCCGGCUCGCCGGAGAGCUCCAGGAUGUGGAAGCUGGUGCCCGCCUCAGGAAAAGGAGAGCCAUAUCGGCUUUUAAGUGGUACAGAAUAUGUUGUUGGACGCAAAAACUGUGCAAUUUUAAUUCAGGAUGAUCAGUCCAUCAGUCGAAGUCAUGCAGUUCUGACAGUAAGUCGUCCUGAAACAAGCCCUAGUCAAUCUCUCUCAGUCCCUAUAUUAACAGUAAAAGAUACAUCUAAGUAUGGUACCUUUGUUAAUGGAUCAAAACUCAAUGGCACUUCAGUGUCUUUGCAAUCUGGUGACAGAAUCAACUUUGGAGUAUUUGAGAGCAAGUUUAGAGUGGAGUAUGAACCUUUGGUUGUCUGCUCCUCAUGUUUAGAUGUAGCUCAGAAAACUGCUUUAAAUCAAGCCAUUCAGCAGCUUGGAGGCCUUGUAGUGAAUGAAUGGACAAAAGAGUGUACCCACCUUGUCAUGGUAUCAGUAAAAGUUACUGUUAAGACUAUAUGUGCUUUGAUUUGUGCUCGACCAAUUAUAAAACCAGAGUUUUUUGUUGAAUCAAUCAGAGCUAUUCAGUCCAGGCAACAGUUGCCAAAUCAUGAAAGCUUUUAUCCUCCAGUUGAUGAGCCUUCCAUUGGCACUGAAAAUCUGGAUUUAUCUGAGCAUCAUGAAAGGAAAACAAUAUUCAGUGGAAAAACUUUUGUAUUUCUAUCUGCUAAGCAGCACAAGAAACUGGGUCCAGCAAUUAUUCUUGGAGGAGGAGAAAUAAAAUUGAUGACAGAAGGAAGAAAAGAAACACCUUUACUGAUUUCUCCUGAAGUUUGUGUUGUUGAUGUGGGUUUGACAAACUCUCAGAUUGCAGGAUCUGACUCUAUGAGAAACUGGACUGAUUCCAUUCUGACUGUCUUGCAAAGCAAGAAUCUCAGGGCUAUUCCAGAGGCAGAAAUUGGAUUGGCAGUUAUCUUCAUGUCUACAGAAAAAUACUGCAACCCUCAAAAGCAGGCUGGUACCAACAAAGAAAGUACUCCUGCAUCAGCUGUUGUGGGCCGAGCCAUUUCUCAGAGUUUGGCUGUGGAUGAAACCAUAAUGCCAGCUGCUGCAGAUAGCAGCACAUUGUACAUAGCUGAUACAGAAGAGCAGACAUGUAUGGAGGUAGAGAAUACUCCCCAGAUGGAUAAACAACGGAAAAUGGCUUUCCAGGAUACAACCACCGUAAAGAAAAACACUAGGACAAGUGGCAGUGUAAAUGCAGGAACAGCCAUAUUUAGAGGGAACAGAACAUCUGGGUUGAGUCAAAAAAGUCAACCUGUCUCACCAUCUAAAAUUUCAGAAGCUGGUAAACCCAGCGAGUGUGCUUCACGUCACCAGUCCAACUCAAUUACAAAUUACUUCCAGGUAGCUAGAAAGAGGGAAAGAGCUGAAGACGAAGAGGAAACAUCUGUACCCAAACUAGCAAAACUGGAGGAAAGGUCAUCGCCUCUUUCCAAGUGCACUGAACCCACAACUUUAUCGGUCUGGAACAGUGACGCAAAACAGCAUCAGAAGAAAAAUAACAUCCUGGACCCAAACCCAAAUUUUGCAUUAGAAGAUGUGGGUAUAAAGCUUAGGAGGGAAAGUGUCAAAGUAACAAGUGAUAAAACAGACACUAAAACCACUUCGAGUGAAAGUCAUGCACCACAGAAGAGAAAAGAGUUAGAUGAUUUAUCUGAAGAUACAGAAGCGCUGGAAAUUGUGUUUGGAAGUGGAGACCUAGACUGGGAAGAUCAAGUGGCAGAUCAUGACCAGGAAGCUCAAGGAAAUACACGAAAAAAAAGAUGUUUAGAAGCCAAAGGAAGCAGGAUUCAAGAAGUAAAUGUAAAUCAGAGACAGGAGAAUAAAAUGUUGAAAGAAGAGGAACUUGGAUCAGUUGUAACGUCAGAAAUGAAAUGUAAGAUCAAGCAAGAGUCACCAGUCUUGAACUGCAGCAAACUGCAAGAUGACUCCAGCAGUCUUCCUAGCAGGCUUCUGGUGACUGAGUUUAGAUCACUGAUUGUCAGCCGUCCAAGACAGAACAGUUGCCUUACUGGAAGUACCAGCUAUGGGGGAAAGAAAAAUUUCAAAACGUUCAAAAAGGUAGCUUAUCCAGGAGCAGGACAACUUCCAUACAUUAUUGGAGGAUCAGAUUUGAUUGCUCACCAUGCUAAAAGGAAUUCAGAGCUAGAAGAGUGGUUAAGGCAAGAAAUGGAGGAGCAGAACCGAUAUGCAAGAGAAGAAUCACUUGCUGAUGAUCUCUUUAGGUCAUAGGCACUGUACAGUUUCAGAUAAUGUUGUUUGAUGUCUUUCCCUCUGGAAAACAAAUACCAUCCAGGCUUCAUUUAACAUGGAAAAUGGCUGGAGAUAUGAUCCUAAUGUGAAAAGGAGAAGAUAAAUUGUGACCUGGAUUUACAGUGUUUCUCUAGCAAAACCUGCUUUUCUGUUCCUUAGGUUUCUUGUGUUACAGUGUGUAUGAUGUUCCUACAUAUGACCAUUUGAACUAUCUAUUAUUGUAAGACUUGUUUUUUAAGUCUUGCUUUUAUUAAAGAAAAAGAAAAAUUUCUUUCACUGCUUAAUACUUAUGGAUUGCACAUUUUCAAGACUUUAACACUACUUACUUCAGAGUAAUGCUCAGUAAAAUACUGUAGAUACUUAGGAUUUCAUUUUAGGCUAUUUCUAAUGUUUGCUAAUCAGUACUGUUUUGGGGAAAAAAGGGGGUUACCAUCAGGCUGUGUUUUAUUUGUUGGUUUGUUUUUUUUUUAGAAAGGCUUUGUUAAUUAGGUAUUUUCACGGGUAUUGUCUUAAGAAUUGGAAGUCUGUUGAGAAAGACUGAAAUGCAACUAAUACUUGAUCAUGAUAGCUUUCUCAGUGGUUCAUGAUUUACAGCAAACACUGUUACUGUUACAGAAGAUCUUGGAACUGAAAAAAACAGUUUUUUCCUCUUGCUUAAACAUAUUUUCAUUUGCAACUUUAAAUCAGUGCGUGUGAAUGUUCAGUUCUUAAAACCUACUUGCAAGCCAGAGGAUGUCUUCAAGAGCUAUUGCAUUCCAGUUUGGAAUUUUAAUUAUUUGACCCAUUUCUUUCUCUUGUGCCUUUACUUUUUGCAAUCACUGUGUGAAUAUAUGGCCUUCAAAACAUCUACACAUUCUUGGGUUACGAGACCUCAUUUUAAUGAUCCGAGAGUUUGCAAUUUGAGAAAUUCCCCUGGAAGUACAGUGAGGAAACCCUUCCAGACUUCUACUCAGCUGUAUGAAGUGAUCACAAACAGAUAAAAAUGAACAGUAGCUCCACUGCAUCCAUUUCAAGAGGCAGGAUGGUAGGAUCUCCUUCUUCAUGUGAGGAAGUAAUUUGGUUGAUGUAACUGAAUUUAAGUACACAGAAACAAAACUACUUCCUCUGCCAAGAGCUCAGAGCGUGCAAGCAAGAUGAGCUGAGCUGUUUGAAGGUGCUCUGUUGUGUAUCAGAUUUGAAAAUCUGUGAGAUCUGUGUAUAUCAAGAUAGCAGAUAUGCUGAAGUCAACAUGGUCGCAACAUGCAGAAAAUAUUUAGCCUUCAAGAGCCAGUGUUUCCUCAGGUCUGAAUUGGCAUCUUUUUGAUCACCUGGUCAGCGAUGUCCAGACUGUUACACAGCACACCAACACUGCUGAGUUAUGCAAUAGCCACAAUACUAUUUUGGUAUUGUAACUUGCAUCAGGGCACAUAAAAUCUUUAAAAAGACUUGUCCAAAUCUUUAAAAAGACUGUUCUUAAGCAGCUGAAAUUCUUGCUGGAGGAGGUGACUGACUGCAGUUUGUUGCACCCUCAGGUACCUGAGUUUUUCUAUUGUCACAGUGAGAAUCUCCAGGUUUUCUGGUUGAAGACCCACUGGUCCAACAGAGCAGCUCUUGUAGACUGCUAACGUUUUUCAGUAUUGUGAUUAAAUAUCAAUGGACAAGAUUCUUCAGAAAGGUUGUGUUUACAGUUGCAAAAAACAGAACUUGAGAAUUUCCAAGGUGAAAUGACAAAACAUACAAUCUACAGGGGCCUUCUAUGAGAAAGUAAAGGCCAAGUCCUUUGCUCCUCAGACCUGCAGUCUGCUAGGGUUCAAGCAACCCUGAUGGCAUAGCUGAGAGCACUCUUCUGUUCACUUUUUAUGAGUUAGGACUCUUCAAACCCAGAUCCCCAGACAGCUAAAUUUAGGUGUUUUGGUUUUUUUAGUUAUUUAAGAGUUGGAAUUGAUGAUCCUCAUGGGGCCCCUCCAAUUCAGAAUAUUCUGUGACUCUGUGUCCUAGGACUGAUGGACUCAUCCCACGAUGUGAUGGGGAGCAUCCACAAACCGUUGUAGAUUUCUUCAUAGAUCUAGUUUGAGAUGUCUUCUCUGUAUCAACUUUUCCAACAUCAGAUUUCUUUGCAGUCUUUCACAGGCAGCUCUGUGGUCUCUAGAGAGUAGAGAAUUGUGGGGAUUUCCACCGUAGUGCUGAGGAAAAAAAAGAGCCUAGGAUCAGCAGUUGGGUAAAGGCACACCCAGUUUAUGUUCCUGUUUUGGGUCAGACUUGAGGGUGCCUAGUAGGUGAUGGUUUGGUUUGUAAUCCACUUGCAGCUGCUGUCUGGUUGAUGAGAAGCCUGUACAUAGUACACUUGAGCCUUCUGCUAUUUCAACAUGAAGUUAUGCUUGCAUCAAAAAAACUUAGACAUGGAAACCUCUACCCCUUAGCCAUGGUUUGAAUUGUAAUUCCAAAAUCAAGUCCUAUUCAUAACUCUGAAGUCUUUCUUCCAUUUUAAAUUACUUUUGUCACAAUUUUCAGGUCAAAACAUUAGAGGAAACAUGCUUCUUGGCUUACUGGUUUGGGCCUUCUGUUACUGAAGUUUCUCAGGUAGAUGAUAAAGGACAUGAAUACAUGAUCCAAGUCUUGGGAGCCUGAACAUCCAAUAAAUCACAUCAGUAUUUGCCUUACCCCUGGAGAUAUUGCAUUAACAUCACCUAAUGUUCCCUUUAUUUUAUAAAACAUACUGUUGUGGGCUAGCUCCAGUAGGCAGCCAAGCUCCAUGCAGCCACUCACAUGCUCCCUCACAGCAGGAUGGGAGAAUCAUAGAAGUAGAAAAGGGAAAGUGGGAAAACUCAUGCACUGAGAUACAGUUUUAUAGGUAAAGCAAAAGCUGUGAGCACAAGCAAGGGCAUUCAGCUUUGUAUUCUGCAAUUCGAAAGUUUUGCUGUAUGCUCUGUUUUCACUCUGGAGCUUGUACCCUGUGGUUUCAACAGUCAGUUCAGUUUUCAGAGAGAACUUGUGUGGUGUUUAUUUUCUUUAGGUUAAAAAAAGUUCAGUAACUCAGAGAUGGUAUCUAAGGUUUCUCUCAUCUGCCACAAACCACAGUCUGCAAGCAUACUCACCAUUUUGCCAAAAUUAUGUUCUUCACCUAAACAUACAUCUGAGCAGAAACUUCAGUUUCUUGCAUUUUUGUGUGUAAUGCCGUUUGAGGGUUUGUUUGGUUUGGGGUUUUUUGUAACAUUUAUUAUCUUUGUUGCCACUGCUCACAGGAAGGAGAUGCACACAAUACAUAAACUAAAUGUACUUUUUAUUAGCAAGGCUCUUAAAAUACAGUCUUGCAUUCAGCAGCUUAGCUGAUGAAAACAGUUUAAAGCAGAUUGAAUUACUCCAUUUACCACUAAAACCAAGCAUAGGUGCUGUAUCCCUGCAGGAAUAACAUGCUUAAUUUUCAGCUUAUUCAUAGUAGUUUCAGCUGACUUCCCGUCUUUCCCACAUCAGCUGGGGAAGCCACUGCCUUUUUAUGGCAAGACUACCACAGUAUUAUUCUCACUGUUGAAGUUUGAUUUCUAUUUCUGUCCAUUCAUAUCUGUGUCUGCCCUUUUUUCUCCUACCUGUAGUCCCCACAGCGGGGCUGGUGCAGCAGGGCUGGCCUCUUGUGGAUCAUUGCACCAGUUCCCAUAUGUGGAAUGUGUUUGCUUCAGUUUCUUCCAUCCACUGACCACCCCAUCAACUUCCUCUAAAGUGCUAGGCCCCCCGUUAAUUCCUGAGACAGUAGCUGAAGGUUCUGCUAUAGACCUACCUCCAACCCUCUCCCACCUCUCUCCAGUCCAUAUUAUACAAGUGAUUUCUCAGUCCUUAUUUUUCCUGUUUUUCUCCCUCUCUCAUAAAACUGGAGGGAGUUUUUCACCUUCUUCACCUGCUCUGUUCCAUUUCUUGUAUUGAUCCUUAGUCACAUUUGGCCCCACCUGGUUUUUCAUUCACAAAUUCCGAUUGUGUUCUGGUUGUUCUGGUAUCUCCUUAGAACUCAAGCCAAGUGUGGUAAAACAUGAACCAUAUUCCUUACUAUUAUUCCUCCUCUUCCUCUUAAAAUCUUUGACAGCCAUCACCACAUUCCAGUGAGAUAGUUACAAAAAAUGCUACACAAUAUCAGAUCUCCCUAACUAGCAACUUUCCCUGCCACUUUAGCGCUCUGCCCAUACCACUCUGCCACAACCUUGACUGCUGGAAUCUCUGUCAUUGGCUACAGCAGCAGGUCCAUGCAAACCAAUGCCUUCUCCCUCUUCCUGAACAUUGCAGCUUUAUGAAUCUCUUCCUCCCCAGUUUGUUCUUUCCUUUGACUUACUAGUUCCCCACUUCUCAAAACCAAAAUAAUUGACUUCUAGGUGAAACUGUUUUAAUAUUUCGCACGUUCAGUCCACCAUCAGUUUUCACACAUGAAGAUAAAACAAGCUUGGCAUGCAAACCUCAGGAAUGUUUGUUGUCUAAUCAAAGCUGAGAUUUUGCUCACAAGUUGCUUGCUGCUGACAGCAAAAGUUCUGUACACAUUUACAUUGCUCAUCUUAGAAAAAAUAAAAUAGUAUAACCCAAGCACACUCCAGCAAAAGCAGAAAACUGAAGCACUGACACACACAGAAGUGACUUUUACAUAGUAUUUCCAAGCUCAGAUGUGUUGUCUGUGAACAUGCAUAUAGGUAAAUGAAUAUAAGCCUUUAUCUAAUUUAGAACUGGAAUUCCACAACCACCAUACCAGGAUUAACAGAGAAACAGGCAAGAUCAGGGUAUUAACUUUGUAAAUUGUGCCAGGGAGAUGUAAGGUAGCAGGAUCAGUUCAUGAACAGCAAUAACCCGAUGUUCACAUAGAAGCUGGUCUAGCAUCCAAACUGGUGAAAAAUGAACCAUUUCCCUCUCCUCAGAGUAUCCCUUGGAACUGUAUCAAACCUCUUUCAUCUUGUCUCUAGCUUAGUCUUUGUGGACAACUAUUUUUUUUCUCUAUGUACCUAGUUAAAAAAGAACCUAAAAAUGCCAGGAUGCUGUAAUAUUCUGUGAAUAUAUACCAAACCUAGCUUUUAAUUUUCUUUAUGCUGGCAUGUAAGUCUAGAGAGGGUGUCCAGAAACAUGAAGCUGAAUUUUAGUUCAUUGAAGCAUCCACUGUAGGCAGCAUAGGCUGGUACUUACACAUUGCCAGUGAUCUCAGAAUAAAGAGAUGGGAGAGGAAAGUGCAAAUUAGAAUAAUGUAGUCUCCAGAACAAGUAAUUUCCUGGUUUUGAUGACUACUGAGGACCACUAAGUUUUAGGAGUUGGCUUAUUAUGCCCUGAAAAUACAAAAUCAUUCAUUAUAAAAUGAGCUAAUAUGCAGACAGGUAUAAUGUGAACUCAAGUUCAAGGUUUGCUUGAGAUUAAAUGUUCCAGUGUCUACAAAGACAAAGCUAUCUCUACAACAGUGCUUAGCUUCACUGUGACUAAAUUAUACUAUAAAUUAUUUUCUCCCCAUAAUCCUUGUUCCUUACACCAAAUUCAUCCUUGACUGCACAAUUCCCUGUGUAAUUCAGGCUUCAGAAAUUAAGUGAAACACCUAAGUGUAACAUAUUCCCCAAAAUACACACUUUUGCAGAAAAAGAGCUGUUUAUAAUUCAACAUUCUCACUUCAAAAUUUUACCCCUAAUGACACCAAAGCCUUCCUUUCUCUGUCAAAGAUGUUUUAAUUUCCAUUGUUUCUGCUAAACAGAAUCAACUAUUAUGGUUAUUUCAAACAAAGCAUGACUUUUUUUUCAGGUUGGGCAAGGGGAAAUGGUGGAAGUACAAAAAGCUCUCACAUCAGUUGAGUGCUCCCAACUUGCUCUCACCUUAAAAUAAGAAUGGAAAAUGAUGACAGAACAUUAUUAUUGUAAGACUCUAAAUAUACUCUAAAUUAAAAUAUAACAGUAUAAACCUUU